GGCCUCGUAGCUCAGUUGGCAAGAGUGUUGGCUGAACUGAAGCCUUCCCCUUGAUGGCGUGGGUUCGAAUCUUACUGAGACCG
rnacentral:tRNA from 1 species